CAGCCGCCGCGGUAAUACGUAGGGUGCGAGCGUUAAUCGGAUUUACUGGGCGUAAAGCGUGCGCAGGCGGCCCGUUAAGACAGGUGUGAAAUCCCUGGGCUCAACCUAGGAAUUGCGCUUGUGACUGGCGGGCUCGAGUACGGUAGAGGGGGGUGGAAUUCCUGGUGUAGCAGUGAAAUGCGUAGAGAUCAGGAGGAACACCGAUGGCGAAGGCAGCCCCCUGGGCCUGUACUGACGCUCAUGCACGAAAGCGUGGGGAGCAAACAGGAUUAGAUACCCUGGUAGUCCACGCCAUAAACGAUGGGUACUAGCCGUUUGGUGCGCGAUAGCGCUGAGUGGCGAAGCUAACGCGUGAAGUACCCCGCCUGGGGAGUACGGCCGCAAGGUUGAAACUUAAAGGAAUUGGCGGG
rnacentral:rRNA from 1 species